rnacentral:tRNA from 1 species
UGCGGGAUCGUCUAAUGGUAGGACGCCUGCCUCUGGAGCAGGUAAUCAUGGUUCGACCCCAUGUCCCGCAGCCA